CUAAUUUGCUAUGCUUAAUAGGGUAUUGAGGCUUCAGAAGGGUCACAAAUACUGUUUGUUGGGCCGGCUGUCGUCUGAGGUCGGAUGGAACCACUAUGCACCAUCAGGGAGUUGGAGUACAAGAGAAAGGAGAGGGCGAAGGUUGCAUAUGACAGGAAGAAGCAGCUGAACAAACUUAGGGUGAAGGCUGAGAAGGCUGCAGAGGAGAAGCUUGGUUCCCAGCUGGAGAUACUUGCCCCUGUCAAGUAUUGAAGUCUUUAGCUUUUCUAGCUAGUCUCUUACAAUUUUGUUGUGGAUUUGGCCAUAAUGAAUUCUUUUAAGUUAAUUUCUUUUGGAAACUUUGAAUCUGAGUAUCUGCUGAGACAUAAGAGCUUUUGUUUUACA